rnacentral:lncRNA from 1 species
AUGGAGGAUUUGUAUUUCUUUCAUCCAGGUGCCUGGUGAUAGGGAUUGUCUGAUUAACUAUCCUUUUCUUAGUGUGAUUUGAGAUUUUCUAAGCCACCUUGAUUACUCAAAGCUGGACUGCAGACCAUAAAGGAACUGACUUAAUUCUGGGUUACUUUUGCUCCCAGGAUAUAGCCUUUCUGAAUUCUAACUCAAUCAGGGUCUUUACCUUUGUUGGAACCCUAGAUUUGGACUUUUUUAGAUCUAUUCUGUAGAAGCCACCAAGUCUAUUUCUUGGCCUUUCAACCCCAGGACAAAAGUAGCUGACAGUGCUUUGCUUAUUUCUCUCCCUGGGUUUCUCACCUUUUCAGGUCUUGGCUCAGUAGUUCUUGUCUGUUUUAUUAGUACAUGGCUUAAAACCCCCAAACUUAAAGUAUAUCUUAUCUAUAUAUAUAUUUUUUUUCGAGACAGAGUCUUGCUCUGUCGCCCAGGCUGGAGUGCAAUGGUGUGAUCUUGGCUUACUGCAACCUCCGCCUCCUGGGUUCAAGCCAUUCUCCUGCCUCAGACUCUCGAGUAGCUGGAAUUACAGGCGCCUGCCACCAUGCCCAGCUAAUUUUUGUAUUUUUUAGUAGAGAUGAGGUUUCACCAUGUUGGUCAGGCUGGUCUCGAACUCCUGACCUCAGGUGAUUGACCCUCCUCGGCCUCCCAAAGUACUAGGAUUACAGACAGGAGUCACUGUGUCUGGUCCUUAUCUAGAUUUUUUUUUUUUUUUUUGAGAUGGAGUCUCACUCUGUUGCCCAGGUUGGAGUGCAGUGGUGUGAUCUUGGCUCACUGCCACCUCCGUCUCCUGGGUUCAGGCGAUUCUCCUGCCUCAGCCUUCUGAGUAGCUGGGGCUACAGGCGCGUGCCACCAUGCCUGGCUAAUUUUUGUAUUUUUGGUACAGACAGAGUUUCACUAUAUUGGCCAGGCUGGUCUCGAACUCCUGACCUCGUGAUCCCCUGCCUCGGCCUCCCAAAAUGCUGGGAUUACAGGCAUGAACCACCAUGCCAGGCCCCUUAUCUAGAUUUUUAAUGGUCAUGGGAAUGUUUGAUGCUGUUCUCAAAUAUACGGGAAGCAGAAACCCCCCCCACAUGAUAUUUUAAUUAUUUGUUUAUAUGUCUGUCCUUUCAGUAGGGUGGCCUUUUAAAUUUAUUUUUAGUAUUUCUCUGCUGUAAGCCUUUUAUUGUUUGUAACUCAGCACCUGAUAAUGUCUGAUACAUAAGUGCAUAGAAAAUAUUAACUGGUUUUGGCAUGGCUUUAAGAAAAAAUUGUGAAGGUAUCCUUUCCUUUGAGCCAUAAAGGAAAAUUGAGAUUAAAUCUAAUUGUUUUAUUUGUUGUACCUUCAGUACCAGACAUAAUAAAUUUGGAUGUUAGUGGCAGUGGAAAAUCAUGGGAUAAUUUCUGAAUAACCACUUAGUGCCUCUUAAAUGUGGUUAAAGGGAAGAUUAAUUUCAAAACUGUAUGCAGGAUAGAUGAGAUAUUUUGUCAGGAUGCAUUUUAUAAGUAUUCUAUAGUAUGGUAAUUUUUAAAGUGUGGUCCCCAGACCAGGUAGCAUUGGCAUUACUUGGGAUUUUGUUUGAAAUGCAAAUUAUCUGAUCCUGCCUCAGAUCUUCUGAAUGAGAAACUAUAGUAGUAUGGCUAAGCAGUUUGCUUUAAAAGCCCUCAAUUAGGUUCUGAUGCAUACCUAAAUUAUUGAGCUACUGCUGUAACACAAUAAAACAGAAUAUGAUUUUGAUUUAGGCCCCUUAAAAGCUAAAGGUUAUUUAUCUUUCUAUGAUGAGAAUAUUUUUGGAAAAUAUUUAAUGCAGUCUCAAUGUUGAUCUUUCUUUAGAAUUAAGUUUUAAGCCUCUAUAAAGUCAUUAGGUUUAUUAGAGCAAAAUUAUGACCUGAAAUAGUUGAGUUCGUUGAAAAAUAAAAACUUGUCUAUGUUACACAGGAAAAUGAUACCAGUCUAAUUGUUGACAAUAACUGGCUUAUUCCAGUUGCCUUGCAGUGUUCCUUAAGGGAGUGGAUUGUUUAGGACCUAACUUUCUUAAUACAAGUUUCAUUAGAAGUAAAUUCUCUAUUUUUUCAUUGUUUGGAAGGAAAUAUUUAACAUAUACAAUAUGAUGGAACUUCUGUAGAAUAUAGCAUAAUCACAGAGACAGUUGUAUCCAUCCAUUUCCUAGUCAGUUUCACCAUAUUUUUAAAUGAGGCACAAGAUUACUGUGUUAUCAAAAUGUUAACAUUAAGCUUUUUAACAAGUCUGUGUAGUCACUUGAUUUUUCAGAUUUUGCCCACUAAUUUUAUGAGGGCCAUUGGGCAAAGUGUUUUAAUCCAGAAUUUAAAAUUGUUCAUUUGUAAUUGGGCAGGCUUAUAAAAAGGGGCAUAUUUUAAAUCUUUAUCAUCACUUUAUAGCCAUAAUAUACAUACUAAAAGUUUGGUAGCAAUUUGAGUAUUUAACUACAUAGGGUGGUACUUUGAAGGAAAAAGCAUUUUAAGUUGAGCUUUAAUUUAAUUUCUGCUUUUAAAAACCCAAUAUAGUAGUACGUCAUCUAUGUAUGUACAUUGAGCAUGCUUCUUAACAUAUUUAACUUCCAAUUCUUUGAUAACCGGUUGCAUUCAAUUACUUGUUUAAAUAAUUGGGCAAGUUUCCUGAGUUGUAGGCUGUGAAAUAUUUUCAAGAUGGUUUGGGUAAAAAAUUUUUUCAAAGUAGGUGCCGUCAGUGACUUUGAUCACAGAGAAAUCAGUAUGAUCCUGUGACAAGUUUAGUUUUAACAAUGUAACUUCUUGUGUAAACUCAGUCACCUAGUAAUGUGAAUUAGUUGCAAAGUGAUUCUGUAUUCUUAGUGACCCACUGUUAGAUGUUUUCAGACUAGUAAAUGAUAAAUAUUUAUUGUUAAAAUCAUCCUUAAAAUUUUAUUUGAACAUGCAGCACUUUUUGCAGUGUGAAAUUGAAAAAUCAAUUGUUUAGUUUUUACCAAAGGAAAAUUAGAGUUUUGUAUACAUAUUUGAUGAAUACAGUAAACAGGUUAAAAUUUAGCAAAUAGAAUUUUGUAAGCAUUUUUAAAAUGUGUGAAUUCUGUGAUAAGGGGGUGGCUUUGCUACAAUUUAUUACAAAGCUAAGUUAUAUUUCAUUACUUAUGUAAAAUAGUGUUCUUUGUUUAGCUUCUUAAAGUGGUAGGAGAAUUGUAUAAUUCCAUUGAUUGGUUCCAUGCAGUGGAAAUCUGACCUUUAGCAGAUGUUUGAGAAAUUGCCAGCACAGCAUGAUCAGCCAAAAAGACAGUUUUCCCCUUGUUACUUGACAGGCCUUUCAUGCUUUAGUAACAUGCCAAAGAAAUGUUUAAAUUAUUUUUUUAUAAUAUCACAUGCUCUCUAAAAUAUUAAGAAUACAUUGAAAAACAUGCAUAAAAUGAGAUAGAUUUUUCCUGCAAUUACGGAUUGCAAUUCAGCUGACUUUUAAAUGUUUAUUAUUAAAAAAAAAAAACUAAGAUAAAUGCUGAUUGUUUUGUGAAUUAUGUGUUACUUUGAGAUUUAAAAUGUCUUCGGCUAUGUAGUUAAUUGUUAUUAGGGUUUGAUGUGUGUUAUUUUUUCCAUGAUCAUGUUUUCCAUGAUCAUGUAUAACAAUUUAAACACUGUUAUAAGUUUCUCUUAUUUUAGUGUUAUUUAAUCGCAAGUAUCGUCUUUGGUUGGCUUUUUUAUUUUUUAAUAGAGGCUUUUUGAUAGGGGUUAAAUGCAUCACAGAGAAGUUAUCCUAUCUGGAACUUCUCGCUAAGGGCAGGAUACUGCAUGAAUCCACUUUAAAGCCUCUUCUCUGAAGGACAGUAUUUCUUUAGAGAAUGAAAUGGGUUCAGCUGUGUAGUUGUGGGGGUUCAGCUGUGUAGUUGUGGGAGUUCAGCAAAAACACUGUAAGCUCUGUUUUCUUCAACUUCAUGGAUUGAGCGUACAGGAAGGGGAAGGAGUUGCCUUAAUGUUUAAGAAUGAAGUGAUGAAUUGAUAGUAUCAGCAGUUGCCAGACUGUAUCUUUUUCUGCAGGUGCUUAUUUUCUGUAGGGCAUUGCAGUUGUUUUUCAUUGUGUUAGGUUAUGAGACGAUUUUAAGGAAAAUUUAAGGAACAUGAUCUUACAUAGUUUCAUUUUACAGUUUUGUAACUGUUUUGUAUGUCUUAGGUUUAUAUACUGAAUUAGUUCUUCCAGAGGAUUAUGAUUGAAAGUUUUGGCUGUGUGUACCUAUCACCUUACAAAAAUAAAAAGAUUUUUUUAAAGGUCAUGUUCAGUAUCAGUAGUUCUAAGAAUAUGCUAAAUUAAAAUUUAAAAAUCAAACACCUAUAAUAAAGUUUUGCUGAAUCCA